GGGGAUGUAGCUCAGUCGGUUAGAGCGGCGAACCCAUAAUUCGUUGGUCCGGGGUUCAAGUCCCUGCAUCCCCA
rnacentral:tRNA from 1 species